rnacentral:lncRNA from 1 species
AAACAUGACAGUAUAUUUCUCAGACAUACAAGACCACCAAAAAGAAAAAGGAUAUGGUGGAGGAUACUGCAGAGGGUGCUACGAAUCCUCCUCAGUAAGCCUACGGUUCCCCUUUUCCCUGAUGGCGAUGAGUCGUGAAGUACCACUGUGCCACAAUUCAUCAAAAUAAGUCUUCAAGAUUGUUAUCAGAUUAAAAGAUCAACAUCUAAAGGAAGUCAAUAAAUGCAGAGCCUCCCAAAGAACAGUUUAUGGAAAAGAAAUCUCAAGAACUUCUCUGAUCCAUUCCAUGUGAUCCAUAUCAUGCUGAAAGCCAGCAUUACAAGGUCAAUUAUUCAAUCACCAUGAUUUUCAAGCCUGUGACAUGAGCAAGGACUUGGGAAAUCACUCCGAAGAAUUCCACCUAUCUUCAUCACAUAGUUCUCUUGUUUUUCUUUGUUUGAAUUUUCCAUCUUUCCACAAAUGCGACCGCCAGGGCAUUCAAAGAAAGUGAACACUUGGAGGAUAUACAACCAAUUUAGGACUCAAUUCUAUAGUUUUGUAAUUUACUAAUUUUCCUCAACAGUUCAUGGAUAACAUACAGGUGGUGUACAUAUGCAGCUCAAAAGAUAGCAUACAUGAUGUAAGAAAUCUUCUACGUUGCCAAGUUCAACUCAUGUAGUCUAGGUUGCAAAGAAUAACCCAGAUUAAUAGAUGCAAUUCAAUUUAUCAUACUACUUGAGAUAAUCUGCUUCUCGUAGCAUGAAACUGAACUAUGGGAAUUUUCUGUUCCAACUUGUUAUGAAACUGGAAACUAAGACUUUUAUAUCUAAUACUAAAGUAGGAUUCUUAACUAUAACAUGGUAAUGCUAGACAUCAACUAAGGCUCAAUUUGGUGAGCUAAGAUGUAGAUGCAUGCACAGAAAAAUAUAUAUAUAUAUAUAUAUAAAGUGCCCAUUAUCUGAGUGAAUAAAUAAAUGUCGUUAGUGUUACCACGUGAAAUAAGGUGGGUAUCAACAGUUACUGGUAUAGAAUGAAAGGACAAAUAGUAAGAAGGUACCUACAAUUUUGAGAAGGGGAUAACUAACCUUUUCAUACCUCAUGAUUUUGCACCUGCAACAUUAGCUCCAUGACACAACUGCCC